AUUGAACGCUGGCGGCAGGCCUAACACAUGCAAGUCGAGCGGAUGAAGGGAGCUUGCUCCUGGAUUCAGCGGCGGACGGGUGAGUAAUGCCUAGGAAUCUGCCUGGUAGUUGGGGAUAACGUCCGGAAACGGGCGCUAAUACCGCAUACGUCCUGAUGGAGAAAGUGGGGGAUCUUCGGACCUCACGCUAUCAGAUGAGCCUAGGUCGGAUUAGCUAGUUGGUGGGGUAAAGGCCUACCAAGGCGACGAUCCGUAACUGGUCUGAGAGGAUGAUCAGUCACACUGGAACUGAGACACGGUCCAGACUCCUACGGGAGGCAGCAGUGGGGAAUAUUGGACAAUGGGCGAAAGCCUGAUCCAGCCAUGCCGCGUGUGUGAAGAAGGUCUUCGGAUUGUAAAGCACUUUAAGUUGGGAGGAAGGGCAGUAAGUUAAUACCUUGCUGUUUUGACGUUACCAACAGAAUAAGCACCGGCUAACUUCGUG
rnacentral:rRNA from 1 species